AGAGUUUGAUCCUGGCUCAGGACGAACGCUGGCGGCGUGCUUUAUACAUGCAAGUCGAACGAUGAAGUUCCUUCGGGAAUGGAUUAGUGGCGAACGGGUGAGGAACACGUGAGAAACCUGCCUUUCAUUCUGGGAUAACACCGGGAAACCGGUGCUAAUACCGGAUACUCCAUCUUGGCGGCAUCGCCGAGCUGGGAAAAAAUUUUGAUGAAAGAUGGUCUCGCGGCCUAUCAGCUAGUUGGUGAGGUAAAGGCUCACCAAGGCGACGACGGGUAGCCGGCCUGAGAGGGCGACCGGCCACACUGGGACUGAGACACGGCCCAGACUCCUACGGGAGGCAGCAGUAGGGAAUAUUGGGCAAUGGGCGAAAGCCUGACCCAGCGACGCCGCGUGAGGGAUGAAGGUCUUCGGAUUGUAAACCUCUUUCAGUAGGGAAGAAGCGAAAGUGACGGUACCUAAAGAAGAAGCACCGGCUAACUAUGUGCCAGCAGCCGCGGUAAUACAUAGGGUGCAAGCGUUGUCCGGAAUUAUUGGGCGUAAAGAGCUCGUAGGUCGUUUGUCGCGUCGAUUGUGAAAAUCUGAGGCUCAACCUCAGACCUGCAGUCGAUACGGGCAAACUAGAGUGUGGUAGGGGAGACUGGAAUUCCUGGUGUAGCGGUGGAAUGCGCAGAUAUCAGGAGGAACACCAAUGGCGAAGGCAGGUCUCUGGGCCAUAACUGACACUGAGGAGCGAAAGUGCGGGGAGCGAACAGGAUUAGAUACCCUGGUAGUCCGCACCGUAAACGGUGGGCACUAGUUGUGGGAACCUUCCACGGUUUCCGCGACGCAGCAAACGCAUUAAGUGCCCCGCCUGGGGAGUACGAUCGCAAGAUUAAAACUCAAAGGAAUUGACGGG
rnacentral:rRNA from 1 species